rnacentral:rRNA from 1 species
AUGACUGCAGCCAUGGCCACCGUCGUUGCCUCCUACCUCGCCUCGGUUCCGCCACCAGUGAAGGCCGAACGCUGCCGCAGGAGCAGCUAUGAAUUCGCCGUUUCCCACUCCUCCUGCCACAUCAGCCGCGUUUCCCCGUCCCCGGCGUCGACGUGGAGCCGCGCCAAGACGUCCCCGCUGCUCUGCUUCCUGAUGAAUGGAGGACAUGCACCAUCUUCUUCAGCUCCGCCUGAACGCCACCUUGCCGAAGAGCCCAUGCCAGGGUCAUCCUCUUCUUCUGACCCGACGCCGUCCCAGGAGCUUGCCGUCAGAUCCGGCGAUCGCCUCCCGUUCCCGUCGCUCCGCCGUGCGCCAAUUCCCUGCUGCCGCCGUCGUGCCCUGCUUCCGCUCCUCCCGCUUGCCUCUGUACGCGAGGAAAGCAAGCGAACAACCGCGUGCGUUGACCGUGCCCGCGUGGCCCACAACGCCAAGUCACAGCCAGACCCGCCGGCCUGCUGCAGCACCGACUGGGCCUCAACCCACUGGGUGAGGCCACACCCGAGCGCCUUUUUUUGUUUUCCUCCUGUUGGGCCAAGUCUCAGAUGCGGCCCGAUUCAUGUUUUUUUUCGUGGAAUGAAUUUAGAAAUUAUUCCAGAGACUGCAGUUUUUCAGAAAAACCCUUAA